GAGCCUCAGUUUCGCCUUUAUGUGCUUAUAUUCACUGUAUUCUUCAGCCAUAGGAGUGCGGUCUUCCUUCUGGACAUUUCUAAUGCAAAUAAAGGAAAAAGGGGUCUGAGGAUCAUUUUCUGUCUUUGCUAGAUACUAUUCAUCGGGCAAAUUAUCAUUGUUUAGAAACUUUGCAGUUUAUCAACUUGUAGAAUCAGUGUUGCCGAGUGGCCCUUGGUCUCAAGACUGGGGCUGGAUUUAGACAAGUAAUGAAAAUGUUUCACCCAGAAGGCAACAUGCAACUGAGUUUUUAUAUAGUUAAUCUGGCAUCCUGUAUGAUAAGAAGGCUAAGAAAUGCAGAAAUUCUCUCUGCUAAGUAUGAAUUCACAUUGAGCUCUCAUACACCAAAAUCUUUUAUUCAUACUUAAUGUUUUCUCAUUCUUAUAUAUUUCAUCUCGUGAAAUUUUAAAUUUUUAAUUAGCAACUGGUCCACAACUUAGUUUUUUUUUUUUUUUUUUUUUCCAAAAACAGAUAGUUAAUACUCCUACUUAUCAUAAAACUGUGUUAGAAUUCAGCAGCUGGAUUACAUAAUACUAUUAUAAUAAGCCUUUAUUAUUGAGUAACUUUACAUACAUAAUAUUUAUAUGCACAAGUAUUUGAGAGCUUAUAGGUCAAGCCCUGUGCUAAGUACUUUGUACCCAUGAUCUGAUAGAACCCUUAUAACACCUUGAUGAGAUGCAGCCAUUUUCUACACACUACACAUGAUGAAACCAGCACAGGAAAUCAGAUAACUUGCCUGCUCUUGGCCACCACGCGGUGCGCUGCUGCUUUGUGUUUUAUGGGAAAUUGCACAUGGCAAACAUUCAACCAUAGGCUUCCUGCCUUUAUUAUUAAAGGGCAAAUAUGGGUAAGGAGGAUAGCAUGGGGCUUGAUUUGUUCAAUGACCUAAAAAUAAACUGAUCUUAUUCAUACCCUGCCUUGUUCUAGGAAAGGAUUCUAGUGGCUUCUCAGCAGAGGGCAGGGCAAGGAACAGGUGCUCAGGAAUUGGAGCAUCUGGCACGCAGGCCCCCACUGCACUCUGAGGGGCUUCACUCUCCUCAGACACGAAGUCAUGGAACCAGAGCUUAUCUCCUAAGUCCCUCAUAGUUCUAAACUUUUUUGACAAUUAAGUUAACGUCCUCCAUUGACAUUUUCUUAAAACCUGGGUGGUUUGCGUAAUUCUACAUGUAUAAGAUAUCUGUGCAUAAUGUGACUUAGAAUAAUAUAAAAAAGGAUAAGCCAAAAAAUAGGCUUAGAUGAAAGACUGGAAAGAUACACGUCAAAACAUUAAUUCUGACUUGUCUUUGGUUAUUAUUGUUUUGGGAAUUACUACUUAAAUUUGCUUACCUAUAUUUUCUAAAUACUGUGCAAUGGGUGGGAAAUGAAAAGCAAGUGUUUAGGUAUAAAAAUAUAUGAGACAUAUCCAAAUCAGAGAUCCUAAAAGUAAAUUCAUACAAUAAUUGUUAAACUAAACUGAAAUACAAUAUAUUUUAAAUGACAAAGUUAAUUUUUAUGGUGCUUUCAUUUCCCCAAACUUUCAAGAAGUAUAAAAGAGGACUCAAGAGAAACAAUACUUACAUAGCUUCAGUAAUCUGGGUUAAAUCCAAUUUAAAAUGAUAAAACCUAACUCCAAUGUAAGAGAUGCAAAUCUGUUCCUGGUUCUUUCCUCAGGCUCCUACUGUGACUUUCGGUAAGAUUUUUGUGUGCUGUUGCUUGUAAACAUGAAAGACUAAAUUGUGCCUUAAAAUUCACUGGCGAGAGGCAGCCCAUCAACCAGGUAGAUUUACUGCUUUUCUUUUCUUUGUUUUUUUUGAGACGAAGUCUUGCUCUGUAGCCCAGGCUGCAGUGCAGUGGCGUGAUCUCGGCUCACUGCAACCUUGGCCUCCCGGGUUCAAGUGAUUCUCUUGCCUCAGCCUCGAGUAGCUGGGAUUACAGGCCUGUGCUACUGCACCCGGCUAAUUUUUUGUAUUUUUAGUAGAGAUGGGGUUUCACCAUGUUGGUCAGGCUGGUCUUGAACUCCUUACCUCAUGUAAUCCACCCUCCUUGACCUCCCAAAGUGCUAGGAUUACAGGCGUGAGCCACCACGCCUGGCCGACUUACUGAUUUUCAUACAUAUUUUUCAUUUAAACUUGGCAAUUAUCACCUUCAUUUUUGAAAUGAGCUUGAAAAUCAGUAAUACUUAGAUCUCUCUUUCCCUUGUUUCUCUAGCUCCUUUUAUUUAGAAAUGAAGUCUCACUCUAUUGCCCAGAAUAGAGUGCAGUAGCAGACCACAGCUCCCUGCAGCCUCAAACUCCUGGGUUCAAGCAAUCCUCCUGCCUUAGCCUCCCAAGUAGCUAGAGCUACAGGUGUGCCACUACGGCCGCUUGGCUAACCUCUAGCUUCUUAAGAAAAAAGCGUUGGUGCCACCACCAGCGGGAAACGCAGCUUCCUGCUGCUCAUUGUAGAUAAGAAUUUGAUGGGACAGGUUCAUUUCAUAAAUGUCAGCUGAAUCUGCAUUAGUCUUGGGCAUUACCCAAAGAGCAUUUCUUCUGGGAGGUCCACACAAAUCCCAUCAUCUCACAGUCAACCUCUAAGUGUCCCUGGGCACAAACCCAAGGACCAGGUUACAGGGAGGAUGCAGAAGAGUCCCCCCUUUGAAGGCAUUCCACAGAUCUGACAGAAAAACAAGAGGGA
rnacentral:lncRNA from 10 species